rnacentral:lncRNA from 7 species
CUUUCCACUUACAUAUAGAUAUAUGGAGUAUAAUUUGAAUAAAAAGACUCAGCAGCUCAUAAGAGAUCAGAGCUUUUGGCACCUUCUCCCUUAUCCUUUUAUGAGCUCCCCUUGUUGUUCGCAAGUCAGCUGGCAUUUAUGCAUAUCUCUGUGAAGGGUUUUGCAACAUGCUUCGCAUUUUGUGGAACGUUUGAGAUGCGUGGCUCUGCUGAGUUACAUUUGCUGUUAAUUCAGAAGAAUCCAUGAGCUUUGUGAAAAAACGAUGCAGAGAAAACUCGUGGCAUAUGCAGCAGGACCUGCCUGCCCAUGUCAUGGCACACAGUGCUGUGUGUCAGUUCUAGAGGAACUGCUGUGAGGUUGGCCAUGGAAAGAGGUUCACUGCUUGGCUGUAGUGUACCUUCCAGCAGCUUUUGCUUCUCAGAAACAGUUUCACAGGCUGUUGCCACAGUCUCAGCAUUGUAGACCAGAACAUCCUGGAUACUCUGUUCAUACAUUUAUCAAAGCAAGCCCUUGAGUACUAUAAGCUGUGUUUAAAUCAAGGCUUCAAGACAUGUGAAAUAUAUAGUGCUCCAAUUCAGCAUGUAUCUUAGUACUCAGGAAGAGAGCCUGCUGCUCAUGUUAUUGUCUACAAGAUGGAUUGUGCUGAUGCUCCUUCAAGCUGUGAUUGAAGAGAAACCUGUCGUGCACAUACAGACACCCGAGCAUAUGCCAAACUAUUCCUGGAAGACUGAAAUGCAGGAUGAGAGAUGUAAUCCUCCAAGAACUUUCAGGAUUCUGUGAAGAAGCUGUUGAAGUAAGUAAGCCAAGAGACUUGGGAUCUAAUCCUGCCAUCCUUUGCACUUAAGUUCCUUCAUCCAAGGUCUCCAGUUGCGGAGUAGCUUCACUGCAUUGACACAUCAAAAAAUCUUCCAUGAAAUUGGAAAUGACAAGGUUGCCGAGAUACCGAAAGCUAACUGUUUAUGGAUUUUCAAGUCUCAUGUUGCCUAUCACUUGCAGCAUGUGGAAAAUUAUCUGAAGAAGUGGAAAUGAAACCAUGCUUUAAUGAGAUGACAUGCUACUUCACCACUAAUAAUCUCAAUGGGAAAGCAAAUACUAGGCCUACUGGCUACAAGUUACUAUUUUCUGCAGUUCUAAAAAUUGCUUUUUCUGAUAAACAGGUACCAUUAAUGUUCCACCAGCACCCGUAAUGAAACUGUGCGUAGUUUUGCUGUGUUUUUAUCUUUGAUUUAGACUGCGAACCAUAUGUAACAUUUGGAAAGAAAAAUUCCCCUUUCUCCAUGAGAAGCCCUGACAUGUGGCACUCAUUUAGGCAAAGAAUUCAUGCAGAGACAUGGAGAGGUCCUUAUGAUUUUUCAUUUCAGUUAUGAAAUAUGCCAUUUUUG